rnacentral:rRNA from 1 species
CGGGCGUCUUAACAUGCAAGUCGAACGGCAGCAUGACCUAGCUUGCUAGGUUGAUGGCGAGUGGCGAACGGGUGAGUAAUGCAUCGGAACGUGCCUUUUAGUGGGGGAUAACGUAGCGAAAGUUACGCUAAUACCGCAUAUUCUCUGAGGAGGAAAGCAGGGGACCUUCGGGCCUUGCGCUAGAAGAGCGGCCGAUGUCGGAUUAGCUAGUUGGUGAGGUAAAGGCUCACCAAGGCAACGAUCCGUAGCGGGUCUGAGAGGAUGAUCCGCCACACUGGACUGAGACACGGCCCAGACUCCUACGGGAGGCAGCAGUGGGGAAUUUUGGACAAUGGGCGCAAGCCUGAUCCAGCCAUGCCGCGUGAGUGAAGAAGGCCUUCGGGUUGUAAAGCUCUUUCGGCUGGGAAGAAAUCGCACUCUCUAAUACAGGGUG